GGGCUGCCCCGCCGGUCGGGAGAGGGGGUGGGGAGGCGGCGAGGAAAAGUAAAGUGACAGCUGGGUCCCGCGCGCAGACUGGGCUCUGACGGGGGCAAGAGAAAGAGGCCCACUGCAAUAUGCUGUGAAGAAUACAUAAGAAGUCAAACUGUUGACCUCUUUUCCCCAGCCCGUUCCAAAACUACAUCCCUGAGGAGUUGUGCACCUCUACGGAAAGUUCAGAUGAAAGAGCUAAUUCCCCUUGAUCUCUCUUCUUGUUCAGAGUGGAGGAAAAACAUAUACCAUCCCUUCCAUCAAUCCUCAGCAUAACUUUGCCAGGGACACUGGUAACAAGCUACUUUUACCUCAGAAGUUGGAGAGUAUCACUUGACCCACAUUGUGUAUGUGUAAAUAUCUUUAUUCAGUGUAUAUACAAUAUAUUCUUAAUUUGACUCUCAAAGUUUAUAAUUAGCAUUGAAUGAGUAUGAAACAUUGUUUUCCAAAUACUGUCAGCAAGCUAUUGAAUAUGUUGUUCCUGAUUUAUGAAUGAGAUUUUCAUCAGCAGAAACUUAUGACAAAUGACCAAUUACAUUGUCACUGCUAAGUUCCAAGAGCAUUUCUUUCAGUUAUGCUAUUUAGAGUAUAAACAUCAUACUGAAUUAUUAUUAAACUCCACUCAAAAUUUUUAAUUAAGCCAUCCACAUCAUCUAAGUCUUUUCCCUUCCCCUUCUGUGAACCUUCUUUUUUGAGACAGGGUCUCAGU
rnacentral:lncRNA from 10 species